AACUCAAGACAUCAAAGACUCCAAGGAGCAGCAGCAGGAUUUGGCUUAAAACGAGUCAAGGUGACCCAAAAGAGCACAGCCGUGGUGAAACUGCCCCAGAGGAUUCGUGGCCCCAGCAGUACAGACCAGGGGUCGCCAAGGGAACCUUAAAUAAAAGGCAUGCAUUGAGAGAAAUGUUAAUCAAAGUACUCACUGGAAUUCGAUUUCGGGAUCUAAAAGUUGCAACCCUCCUGAGGUCAUCAUCUGAGGCACGAUAGGGAACCACCAAAAGAGCAGGAAUUAUGUGGACAUGCCUCUUUGACUACAGGGUGAUGAUGACCUACCUAUUAUUGUAAUAAGGGUGUCAAAUCAAGAAUCCAGACAACGUAAGAACACGAGACAACACACUGGUGGUUUCCAUGAUUCUAAACUAUCUUUUGUAAAUACAGAC